GGGUCCAUAGGUUACCAAGGUACAUUGUUUGUUUGGGGAACCUUCAUCCUCGUCAUGUUUUCUAGACACCUGUGCACAGGUAUGCCGGGGCCUUCCUUCCUCCUCUGGUCCAGACAGCUCUGUUAAGCCCGGUGUCAGCGUGCAGGUCCAGAGUCCUCAUCUCCCUCAUGGACCUCAGUAGAGCAGAGAACACUGGAGCAUUAGUCCAGUUUACUUUCAAAGAUCUGUCAGGAAACACCUCAGCGUCUACAGGAGAACCGAGAUCCAGAGAAUGAAAAACACCAAUUGACACUGCCUUGGAAAAGCCACCAGAUCUCUCGGGAAUUCAGAAUGCUUACGCCCAUAGUACCUGGUCUCCGAGAGGUGUUUGCUGGGCUGGUGGCUCUGUGGAGAAUAGAGCAACGUCAUUAGCCUCCUCCUUAUCAUCAUUCCCAGUGGUGACAGAGGCAGCUGUUCCUGUCUAGUCAUACCCAAGCUUCCCUCAUUUUCCAGAAGGACUUGGUUGCUGGGUGCUCGUGGUACCUCUGGACCGUUGUGAGUGUGUACUGCCCUUCUGUGAGCCAAAGGAAAAUUAAACUCCGGAGCCUUCACCUUUGAUGGCCUCACCAGGAAGGCACGCCCUGUGUCACUCUUUCAAGCCGCGGCUCAGGGAACAUUCUCCGGAAGAGCAGGCCACACGCUUCCUCCUGUGCCUUCCCAGCUGACCCGGCCUGUCAUCUGCUUCCCACAUUGUUCUCAUGGUGCUUGGAGAAUUGCUCUGAAAGGCCUCAAAGCAUCUCAGGAAUGGAAUUGCUAUUUGAUACAAUUCCUGUUGCGUUUGGAGAACACGAAGGGGAAGCAUCUCUUAUUCUCCGUGUGGGGAAAUGCUAACAGAGAAGCUAAAGAGGGAGAAUUCACGAGAAAGAGAGAGAGACACCCAGAAGCAUGUGAGUUUUCAUGGGACAUUGCCAAGUGGUCUUCUGAGAUCACCCCAAUUUAUCCUCAUGUCAGCGGGGCAGAAGAACACUGUCACCUCAUAACCUUGUGAGUUCUGAUUGUCUUGUGUAUUUGAAAAGCCAAUUUUGUAUUGAAAACAUUUUAUUUCAGAAGGAGGGGCCCAGAUUUCCUUUGUGUGUGGUUAUGAGGACCAGGCGGGGGGGCCAGAGAAGCUGUCAAUACUGAGGCCAAGUUUGAACUGAAUCUUGCUGGGGGAGGGGAAUCCGCAGGCGCAGAGGGGUGAGGAGUUGCAGCUAGGAAAGGCAGUGGCAUACGCCAAGGCCUGAGGUCAGGAGGACUCGGAUUUCUUCCCAGGCUUUCCUCAGAGCAGCAGGAGUUGCAGAGGACUCUUUGGAAGGGCGUUCUUCACCUUCCCUUAGUCUCCAUCAAUUUAUACCUCAUUUGAAGCAUUCUCUGUCAUUUAUGUUUCCACCUCUGUCCUCUCCGUCUGGCUCUGCACAUCUUUAUUUCUGAGUCACCCUGGAAAUCUUCUUAAGCUCCUAGCUCCUAGUGGGUGGAGAAGAGAGGGGUUGAGGGUCUCAGGAGGUGGAGGAAGGGAGUCGGGUCACUCGGGAAGGGAACAGAGAGGAGCUCUGUGACGUGUCCAGCGGGGCACCAGCUCACAUCCACUGACUAGGAGCUCAGCCCUGAACAGGUAGCGCAGGACAGGGUACCACCAAGGGUAGGGACUUAACCAGUGCGUGCCCAGGGGGUCGGAGCAGGGAAGCCCACCGUAUGAUUUGAGGUUAGGAGGAGGCCUGGCCGCACUAGGGAGGACGCAUGCGAGGGGAGACUGUGUGGAGCACAGCUGGAAGCCACCGUAUUCAAGGGAGAAGAGGACACUGAACAGCGGGAGCAGGAAGUGGACAGGAGCGCAGGCCCCAGCGACGACUUUCCAGCGUUUGGGACAGGAGCGGUGUGCGCAAGGGGUGGGUGGCAGGUAGAAGGGUCGCCUUGUGUGCUGGCCGGAAUCGGCCUGGGGUGCAGUAGGCUGGCGAGAUCGCGGCCAGCAGGAGCGAGCCACAGAGGCACUGCGGUGCGAGGGGCCUGGGUCCCCUUGGGUGGCCAGGUCGCACGUGCACCCGUGGCCGUCAUUCCUCCCCUUGGCAUGUGAAGCCCAUCCUGCUCAGAGGGGCGUGCAGUGUGGUCCACAAUAUGCACACCAGGUGUUGGAAAUAUUCAUUCGUUUUUAGGUUUUUUAAAAAUUCAUUUUACAGUCAUAUCAUAAAAAUGUAUGAUUAUUUGAAUAACCUGUUGAAAAUUUGAAUAAGGCACAAAUCGUUAAAAAAUCUAUUAUUUCCUCCUCAACAGGUCAUAUGCUGAUGUUUAAGAUACCCACCGU